UAAGGAAUAUUGGUCAAUGGACGCAAGUCUGAACCAGCCAUGCCGCGUGAAGGAUGAAGGUCCUCUGGAUUGUAAACUUCUUUUAUCUGGGACGAAAACGGGAUUUUUAUCUCAAUUGACGGUACCAGAGGAAUAAGCACCGGCUAACUCCGUGCCAGCAGCCGCGGUAAUACGGAGGGUGCGAGCGUUAUCCGGAUUUACUGGGUUUAAAGGGUGCGUAGGUGGGCUUAUAAGUCAGUGGUGAAAUCUCCGAGCUUAACUUGGAAACUGCCGUUGAUACUAUAGGUCUUGAAUUAUCUGGAGGUAAGCGGAAUAUGUCAUGUAGCGGUGAAAUGCUUAGAUAUGACAUAGAACACCAAUUACGAAGGCAGCUUACUACAUAUAAAUUGACGCUGAGGCACGAAAGCGUGGGGA
rnacentral:rRNA from 1 species